GAUGAACGCUGGCGGCGUGCCUAAUACAUGCAAGUCGAGCGAACAGAUGAGGAGCUUGCUCCUCUGCCGUUAGCGGCGGACGGGUGAGUAACACGUGGAUAACCUACCUAUAAGACUGGGAUAACUUCGGGAAACCGGAUCUAAUACCGGAUAAUAUAUUGUACCGCAUGGUUCAGUAGUGCAAGACGGCUUUGCUGUUACUUAUAGCUGGAGCCGCGUCGCAUUAGCUAGUUGGUAAGGUAACGGCUUACCAAGGCAACGAUGCGUAGCCGACCUGAGAGGGUGAUCGGCCACACUGGAACUGAGACACGGUCCAGACUCCUACGGGAGGCAGCAGUAGGGAAUCUUCCGCAAUGGGCGAAAGCUUGACGGAGCAACGCCGCGUGAGUGAUGAAGGUCUUCGGAUCGUAAAACUCUGUUAUUAGGGAAGAACAACUGUGUAAGUAACUAUGCACGUCUUGACGGUACCUAAUGAGAAAGCCACGGCUAACUACGUG
rnacentral:rRNA from 1 species